UUAGUGGCAGACGGGUGAGUAACAUGUAGGUAUCUACCCUUUGGCCUGGAAUAACACGAGGAAACUUGUGCUAAUACCGGAUAAGUCUUUACGGAGAAAGCUUUAUGCACCAUUGGAUGAGCCUGCACUUGAUUAGUUUGUUGGUGGGGUAAUGGCCUACCAAGACUUUGAUCAAUAGCUGAUUUGAGAGGAUGAUCAGCCACAUUGGGACUGAGACACGGCCCAAACUCCUACGGGAGGCAGCAGUGGGGAAUCUUGCACAAUGGAGGAAACUCUGAUGCAGCGAUGCCGCGUGAGUGAAGAAGGCCUUUGGGUUGUAAAGCUCUUUCGUCGGGGAAGAAAAUGACUGUACCCGAAUAAGAAGGUCCGG
rnacentral:rRNA from 1 species